UACGUAGGGGGCGAGCGUUAUCCGGAUUCAUUGGGCGUAAAGCGCGCGUAGGCGGCCGCCUAAGCGGAACCUCUAACCCCGGGACUCAACCUCGGGCCGGGUUCCGGACUGGGCGGCUCGAGUGCGGUAGAGGAGAGCGGAAUUCCCGGUGUAGCGGUGGAAUGCGCAGAUAUCGGGAAGAACACCGAUGGCGAAGGCAGCUCUCUGGGCCGUCACUGACGCUGAGGCGCGAAAGCUGGGGGAGCGAACAGG
rnacentral:rRNA from 1 species